GUGAGGAAUAUUGCGCAAUGGAGGCAACUCUGACGCAGCCAUGCCGCGUGCAGGAAGAAGGCGCUACGCGUUGUAAACUGCUUUUAACCGGGAAGAAACCCCAGGACGUGUCCUGGGUUGACGGUACCGGAGGAAUAAGCACCGGCUAACUUCGUGCCAGCAGCCGCGGUAAUACGAAGGGUGCAAGCGUUAUCCGGAUUCAUUGGGUUUAACGGGUGCGUAGGCGGAGCGUUAAGUCAGUGGUGAAAUCCUGCAGCUUAACUGUAGACGUGCCAUUGAUACUGGCGCUCUUGAGUGCGCUUGAAGUGGGCGGAAUGUGCCGUGUAGCGGUGAAAUGCUUAGAUAUGGCACAGAACACCAAUUGCGAAGGCAGCUCACUAAGGCGAUACUGACGCUGAGGCACGAAAGCGUGGGGAUCGAACAGGAUUAGAAACCCUGGUAGUCC
rnacentral:rRNA from 1 species